GACGAACGCUGGCGGCGUGCUUAACACAUGCAAGUCGAACGUGAUUUUUAUGGAAAUUCUUUCGGGAAUGGAAAUGAAAUGAAAGUGGCGAACGGGUGAGUAACACGUGAGCAGCCUACCUUACACAGGGGGAUAGCCGUUGGAAACGACGAUUAAUACCGCAUGAGACCACAGAAUCGCAUGAUAUAGGGGUCAAAGAUUUAUCGGUGUAAGAAGGGCUCGCGUCUGAUUAGCUAGUUGGAAGGGUAAAGGCCUACCAAGGCGACGAUCAGUAGCCGGUCUGAGAGGAUGAACGGCCACAUUGGAACUGAGACACGGUCCAAACUCCUACGGGAGGCAGCAGUGGGGAAUAUUGCACAAUGGGGGGAACCCUGAUGCAGCGACGCCGCGUGAGCGAAGAAGGUUUUCGAAUCGUAAAGCUCUGUCCUAUGAGAAGAUAAUGACGGUAUCAUAGGAGGAAGCCCCGGCUAAAUACGUGCCAGCAGCCGCGGUAAUACGUAUGGGGCGAGCGUUGUCCGGAAUUAUUGGGCGUAAAGGGUACGUAGGCGGUUUUUUAAGUCAGGUGUGAAAGCGUGAGGCUUAACCUCAUUAAGCACUUGAAACUGGAAGACUUGAGUGAAGGAGAGGAAAGUGGAAUUCCUAGUGUAGCGGUGAAAUGCGUAGAUAUUAGGAGGAAUACCGGUGGCGAAGGCGACUUUCUGGACUUUUACUGACGCUCAGGUACGAAAGCGUGGGGAGCAAACAGG
rnacentral:rRNA from 1 species